GGCUGUGAUGAGUUGUGAUUUUGUGACCUGGUAUUGCCAAACCCUUGUUGGGUGUCUCUGACCAGGAGAUGAAUGUUGAAUCUUCUCUCUGAGCCA